rnacentral:sRNA from 1 species
UGAAUAGCGGAGACUAUAGGAAA